rnacentral:rRNA from 1 species
CUACGUGCCAGCAGCCGCGGUAAUACGUAGGUGGCAAGCGUUGUCCGGAAUUAUUGGGCGUAAAGCGCGCGCAGGCGGAUCAGUCAGUCUGUCUUAAAAGUUCGGGGCUUAACCCCGUGAGGGGAUGGAAACUGCUGAUCUAGAGUAUCGGAGAGGAAAGUGGAAUUCCUAGUGUAGCGGUGAAAUGCGUAGAUAUUAGGAAGAACACCAGUGGCGAAGGCGACUUUCUGGACGAAAACUGACGCUGAGGCGCGAAAGCCAGGGGAGCGAACGGGAUUAGAUACCCCGGUAGUCCUGGCCGUAAACGAUGGGUACUAGGUGUAGGAGGUAUCGACCCCUUCUGUGCCGGAGUUAACGCAAUAAGUACCCCGCCUGGGGAGUACGACCGCAAGGUUGAAACUCAAAGGAAUUGACGGGGGCCCGCACAAGCGGUGGAGUAUGUGGUUUAAUUCGACGCAACGCGAAGAACCUUACCAGGUCUUGACAU